GACGAACGCUGGCGGCGUGCUUAACACAUGCAAGUCGAGCGGUAAGGCCCUUUCGGGGGUACACGAGCGGCGAACGGGUGAGUAACACGUGGGUGACCUGCCCUCAGCUCUGGGAUAAGCCUGGGAAACCGGGUCUAAUACUGGAUAUGACUCCAUGACGCAUGUUGUGGGGUGGAAAGCCUUGUGCGGCUGAGGAUGGGCCCGCGGCCUAUCAGCUUGUUGGUGGGGNGAUGGCCUACCAAGGCGACGACGGGUAGCCGGCCUGAGAGGGCGACCGGCCACAAUGGGACUGAGACACGGCCCAGACUCCUACGGGAGGCAGCAGUGGGGAAUCUUGCGCAAUGGGCGAAAGCCUGACGCAGCGACGCCGCGUGAGGGA
rnacentral:rRNA from 1 species